UUUUUUUUUGCCACAGGAACAUAACCACUUGCACUAAGGGCACGUUCACUCAAGACCAGCUUCAGGACAACUUCUCUUACGUCAUCCUCAAGCAGCUUGUGCGGCCUAGCUCUGCCUCCAGUGACCUGUAUAUCUCCUACUACAGCAUCACAGACUACUUCUGCCCCCUGCUGGUCUACCACGAUACCCCCGGAUACCCUCCAUGGAGCUCUACUAUACGCUGACCACUACAUUCAGUGUGCACAGGGCAUUCCUUCCUCCUCCCUCUGGUGUGGCACUGGGCAUCUUCCUGGCCAUCUUUGUGGUCCCGCUGCUCAUCGGCUUUCUCCUCAGCCAGCGCGCUCACCAAAAAAAAAUAGGAUGGACACACACAAUGUGCAACACAUUCAGUUGUUUUUUUUGUCAAACACACGCACUCACAAUACAUCCCCAAAACAGGAAAAACACACGCAUGUCCUCCGAGCUGCGUGAAAUAAAUGCGAUGAGCCGUUCAGCAUGUACUCUGUCAGUAACUGAUCCGUCUUGCCUUUUUGUCUUGUUUUUGAUUGAUUUAGAAAUCAAAUCAAAUUUCAAAUUUAUUUUUAUAUAG
rnacentral:lncRNA from 8 species